AUCACAGCUGCAGGCCACCAAAGUUCUCAAGUAUGGAGACAAGAUUCCUAGGCUGUGCUGAUUUAUAAUGAAGCUGUGUAGCUGUGAAAAAGAGCAACAUGCAGCACUCUUUGCUCACCGGGGCUUCUCAACCUUGGCACUACUGGCAUCUAUAACAUAUCAUUCUUGGUAACAGUCCUGUGCACUGAAGGAUAUUCGGCAACAUCUCUGGCUGCCACUACCACCUCCUCAACGCCUAUAACAACCCUCUCCAAAACUCAACCACAGCUGUGGUAACCAGAAUGUGUCUAGAUAUUGCCAAAUACCCCCUGGAGGACAUGAAGAGACCCCCACUGAUAACUAUUGCUCUUAAUGUACAAAACCAAGAGGAAAACUGUCAGUCAUGCCAAUCUGGGUGAAGUCUAGAAUAGAGACUCUGUGACCUCCAUAAACACUGCUUAUGCAAGAACACAAUCCUUCUUCACAGCCAGAGCAUUUGUCUGGAAGAUAUGUUUUUAAAACAUACUGAUAUUUCAUUGCACUCAAUUCUGUCAAUGGGCUCCUAAAUUACCUUAUAUCUCUAUGAUAACCUUUGAAAAACUAACAGGGUAGAAAAACGUAUAAGAAAACAGAAUCAAAGGAGAGGGAGUGUAAAUCAGUAAUUAUUUUUAAAAGGAUUCUUUUAUAUUAAUGAUAAACAUUGCCUUUAAAAAAUUAUCUAGUAUAACAUAUUUCUUUGAAAAAUAUGGGCCUCUGUAACAAGUCUUUCAGUGUUGUAUGUAACUGGUAAAAUUAACUUCACCAAUGUUGGCUAACUCUGAAAGUGUACGAUGAGUUAUGGUGUCUGGAGAGAAAUGUGGGCACUGGAAGCGGCAGUCCCAAUGUGCUUGGCCUUCCAUGGUCAGGCGAAGAUUCUCAGCCAGCGGAGGCUCUACUUUUACCUACUAAGAGGAAUGAAAUGACAUUACAUCCACGCCUCGGCUUCCUGUUAGGAGUCCUUCAGAGAGUUGAUGCGUGCACAGAUCUUCAGGGCUGGGCCCAGCUUGAUGUUCAUUGCACUCAUAAGAUGGUCUUCUUUUAGCAAGAGCAGGGCCUGUCCAUCAAUCUCCUGCGCCCUGAACUCAUCCGCGACAUCCUGGCAGCCUGGAAUUCCAGGAGAGGAAGGUUAGAGUCACACAUUAGACGGAGCUCCUAACAGUGAUGGUUCUGCUGUUCCUGGGUCUGCUUGCAACAGAGGCUGAUAAACCAAUGUCCUGGUAAGCCUGGGGUUCAUGCUUGAAGAAGUGAAAACCAAGGAAAGAGCUUACUUGGAAGUCUUGCUCUAAGAACAUUGCAGAAACAAUAGCAAGAGGUAAGAGGGAUCAGUCAAUACAUUGUAUUUCCCAUGCAAAAAGUACUUCAUUCUGAGGCUUUACACCUCAUGGACUCAUUUUCCAUAACAUAACUUCAUAUAUAAGCAGAGUAGAAUAAAAUGUCUGGCCAUAAGUAAUAAUCUAGAAAUUUUUCCUCAAGUGUCAGAUUAAACUUUCGUUAUCACCCAUACCUUCUUUGAAUUCGCAUAACUCCAAGUAUGUCUAAGAUAUUUUUAGUGUUCCCUCAGGACAGAACAACCCCCCCAGGACUAUUGCACUAACGUGUUGCAGGACUGCUGACAUACAUCAGAUCGUUCAACUUGUAACAUCAACUUCAAAGCUUACCACCGCUAAACUCAUUUCUAGUCCUCAUUUCAUCUCUGGAACAGUCCAUGUAGCCUGUAGGCUGGUCUUGAACUUAUCCUGUUUUCCCACAUGUAUACUGGGAUUACAGGAAAGUGCCAUACCGCACCCCCACCCUCUCUUAGUGGUGCUAGAAAUGGAACCCAGAGCUCUGGGGAUGGCAGGCAGUGCUCUACCCCUGAACAUGUCACCACACCCCUCAGCACUCCUCACCUUCAUCUUGGUGGGAAAAAAAAAAGACAUUACAAAGCAAAGCUGCCUCU